CUUUUGGAGAAAACAGGGAAAUAUUCAUGUACUGAAAUAGCUCCCCCAAUUAUUUUGUCAGAUUUCUUUGAAGCUGCCCAUGAUUCAUCUGUAAGCUUGCCCCACUAGACUCCCCAAUUUCAAAACUUCUAUGAUCAAAUGUUCUUUAAGCAGAUUAGGUUUAGGGUUAGACUUAGUGUUAGAAAUAGGUUUAGACCUAGUGUUAGGGUUACAGUUAUUUUUUAAAAAUUUCUGUGGAUCUGGGCAGGUUGCACCUUUUUCCUAUUUUUGUGAUAGUAGGAGCAAAUGUGACUCCAUUUUGUUUUAUGACAUCAUCCUGUAAAACAACCAUGCCAAGUAGAAGAGUCAUAUCUGGGGCAAAAUGUUCUUUUUUCUUUUGCUGUAGAAACCUUUAAGAACACAAAACUACCUAAUGGGGUAUUGUUUCUGUAACUAGGGUAAUGGGGCUCUGUUUCUCUAAUGGGGUGACUGGGCUAACUGUGAUUGGUUAGGCUUCCC
rnacentral:lncRNA from 1 species